rnacentral:ncRNA from 2 species
UCGUGGGAUGGGGAUGGGGUCCCCCGACAACUGCUGAAAGGCUGAUGGCUCCUGCCAGACC